rnacentral:rRNA from 1 species
GAUGAACGCUGACAGAAUGCUUAACACAUGCAAGUCUUUGGCGAAUCUGUGCUUGCACAGGCUAGCCAAGGCGGACGGGUGAGUAACGCGUAAAGAACUUGCCCUGCAGACAGGGAUAACAGACGGAAACGACUGAUAACACCUGAUACAGUUGCCGGCACGCAUGUGCCUGGCAAUGAAAAGAGAUGCUGCAGGAGAGCUUUGCGUCCUAUUAGCUUGUUGGUGAGGUGACGGCUCACCAAGGCGAUGAUAGGUAGCCGGCCUGAGAGGGUGAACGGCCACAAGGGGACUGAGAUACGGCCCUUACUCCUACGGGAGGCAGCAGUGGGGAAUAUUGGACAAUGGGGGCAACCCUGAUCCAGCAAUUCUGUGUGCACGAAGAAGGUUUUCGGAUGGUAAAGUGCUUUCAGCAGGGAAGAAGAAAGUGACGGUACCUGCAGAAGAAGCGACGGCUAAAUACGU